rnacentral:tRNA from 2 species
UCCCCGUUGGUGUAACGGUAGCACAGCAGCCUCUGGAGCUGUUGGUCUUGGUUCGAAUCCAGGAUGGGGAGC